AGUAUAAUUGCUGGAUCAAAUGGUAAGAGUAUUUUUAGUUUUGUGAGAAAGUGCCAAAUGCUUUUCCAAAGUGGCUGUACCAUUUUGUAUUCCCACCAGCAAU
rnacentral:pre_miRNA from 1 species